UAAGAAAACUAAAUGUAGCCUCCUUCGAGAAAGAUAGACGGAUUUUACACCAUAUUUUACAAUGAUUGGGAAGAUAGGCAGAGAUUGUUGGAUUUGUUUGACGCUUGUGUUUAAUUUCUUAUUACUACGCUAGUUUAUCAAUGUUAUCUUAUUACGCUAAACACUGGAAGGAUUUCAAUGAGGCCACAGAAUCAUCAACUUGAAAAGAACCCGAAUGCCCCGCGUAAAGUGCACUCGCGUUUGGCAUUGGCGUUUAUCAGGGAUUUUCGUGCCAAAAGGAACAGUGUUUGGAUAUUAUUGAUUUUACUACUCGCCCAAGUGCUUUGUUCUAAAGCUACUUUAAAGCAAGACGCUUCGAGUUGUUCGCAAAUAGGACGACCAGAAUCCAAUGUCACUCUUAUGAAUGGACUUGACAAUCCCAAAGUACAUCGCUUCAUUCUGGGCCAUGUUAAAACACUUGAAGACUGCGUGCAAAUCGCCUGUAAACGAGAAAACAUCUCUCUAGCUUAUAUCUCGAGGUUUGACUGCUUUGGGAUUUCGUGUGAUGGAGAAGAAGAGACGUGUUGGCUUCUUCCAAGUUUUCAAUACCCGACACUCGUCUUUGCAAGAUUACAAAGAGGAAUCCCCAAAGUACACAAUACAACGAUAAACAAAGCAGGAAAGCUUUCCAAGGUACAUGCAAAACAAAAGCACGAGAAAAAGACAAGGAAUAUUGACGAGAAUCAGCGAAAGGGUUCGUCGUCGAAUGAAGGAUUUUCCUCGUCAUUAAAUUUUAAAAGACGUUCAAACGAUGCAGAGGUGAUAUCAACAUUGUCAUCAAGAACGCGAUCAAGGACAAAUGGUAUCCCUUUAGUUAAGGGUAAACAUGAACUUUCGCAAAGGUCUGUUGGUGAAAGACCUUUUCUUGAACUUCCUUAUUUGUGGAAAAGAAGAAGAAAAGCGAACCAAAGGAUUCGAAGAGAUGUGAUCAAACAUGAAAGUAUUUUAGGGGGACAUUUUGCAAUUAGAAACUAUGAUGCAGAAAAUGGACGAAAUAGAAGGGAUUCUUAUUUUGAUAAAAACAUUAAACCAUUGGAUAGGCAAAACCGAGAAAUGCAAGACGAUUUGCCUCGUGAAAAAGAAGAUGAAGCUAUGCUUUCUGAUAGUGAUAUGGAAUCCAGUCAAACUGUUUAUUCAGGUUCGGGAAAUGAAGAAAUAAAUAACGAUAUACAAAAUAAUAAUGGAAGAAUAGAAUCCAGUCAAACUAGUUUGUCUGGUUCAGGAAGUGACGUCAGGAUGAAGAGCCAGGAAGUGCUCCAACGUUACAAGCGCAACUUUGAUGAUGAGGAUGAGGAUGAUGAUAGUCAUUCGUCGGAUGAUUCAUUGCCAUUCCUUGGAGAAAAUAAAAUGAAAGACGAACAACAAGAUAAUGAAUUGCAACGUUAUAAGCGCAAACUUGACGAUGAUGAUGAUGAUGUAUCAUCAGCUGAUGUCUGGUCUUCAGGGAAUGGAAUAUCCCAUCCACCCAGCGAUCCUUAUUCGGGGUAUAACGACCAAAACGAAGACAGCGAGGAAGGGAAUUCUUUAAGGAGGUACAAGCGAAAGGCAGUAGAGCCAGAAGAAAUGGACGAGUUGAGUAAAGCCUUGUCUUCGGCGUCACCCUCAAAACGUUCUUUGGAAGAAGAAGAAGAACUAGGGUCUGGGGUACCAGACAGGACUAGAUCUACAACCAAGAAUAUACAGUCAUCAUCAUCUUCGCCAUCGACAUUAUCAUCAUCUUCAUCGCCGUCAUCUUCAUCAACAUUGGCACCAUCAUCAUCAACAGCAACGUCAUCGAUAGCAACAUCAUCGUCAUCACCAUCACCAUCCACAGAUCAAUCGCAGGUAAAAUCAGAGAACAACUCUAAGAAAUCUAAGAAGAACAUUUCUUUGCCAGUGAAGAACGCGGAUGCUUCUCCUCAAGAAACGUCUUCAUCAUCGUCAGCAUCCAUAUCAAUAUCAUCUCUACCUCCUCCACCUCCUCCACCACCUCCUUCAUCAACAUCUUCAUCAUCUUCAAUUUCUGUUACAACGUCUUCAACAGGAUCUUUGCCAGUUUCACAAUCAUCACAAACCUCGACAACCAAAGUGUCAUCUUCUUCCACUACAUUUCCAAAGUCUUUGGAUUCAAAGAAGAAAGAUGCCCCGGAAAAACCUGUUAAACUGGUUUCUUUGACUAAAAAAGGCUCGAUCAAGAUACAUCAGGGAACAUUGAAUAAAGACACGAAGAAAUCCUCAGCAGUCCCCCCUCAGGAAUCGACGUCAUCUUCAUCUUCUACAUCCAUAACGAUAUCCCCGUUACCGUUACCGUUACCGCUCCCGCCACCAUCGUCGUCAUCAACAUCCACUUCCAGUACAUCCGUUUCACAGUCAUCUUCAUCAUCGACUAAAGUUUCCGUCUCUACGUCCACUUUUCCAAAAGUAAAAUCAUCAAAGACUAACGAUGCAUCGAAAAAACAUGUCAAAAAGACUACAAAGAAAUCCUCAGCAGUCCCCCCUCAGGAAUCAACAUCAUCAACAUCUUCUACAUCCAUAUCGAUAUCCCCUAUACCUCUGCCACUCCCACCAUUACCACCACCGUCAUCAUCAUCAUCAUCAUCAUCCACCACGUCAACUACACAGUCAUCUUCAUCAUCCACAAAAGUUUCCGUCUCUACCUCCUCUUUCCCCAAAGUAAAAUCAUCAAAGACUAACGAUGCAUCGAAAAAACAUGUCAAAAUGGCUGCUGCAUCGUCAUCCAAGUCACUGAAAUCUUCAUCUUCUAAAACUAAAGCUGCAAAAUCACGAAGUACUUACUCUAUUUCUCCUAAGAAAGAAAAAUCCUUUCGUGAAAAAGCUAAACAAAAGAAACAGAGUACGAAAACUUUGUUGAAAGAAAAAAGAAAUAAACAAGAAAAUAAGAAAAAAAUUGCGAAAGAAAAAGUGGAUAGACCAACACAAAAGCAGAAAAGACAAGCACCUUACGAAAUUGGUUUGAGAAACAGAAUGCGUAUUUCAAGUUAUAAUCAAGCUACGAGGAGUAAUAUAAGGCCAGUAUUUGCCAGUACUGUUGGAUACAAUCGAGCAAAAAUGGGCCAAGGAACUCAAUAUAAACCCCAGCAAGAGAGUGGACCAUUUAGCGCACCUAGUUAUCAAUACAAACAAAUCAAUGCUUAUAGACUUCAAGGAAGAAAUAACGCGAUGACUUCAAGUAUUCAACCUGUAGUCAGUAGUUUUGGUGCUCAAUCUGCGCAGCUAUAUGUUGCAUUAAGGACCCAUCUUCCUCUUAGGAGCGUCAUCCCAGGGCCGUCCGUACACUUUGGCUUUUCUCAUGAUCAACCACGAUCUUUUAUCCCUCCUACAAACUACGCGAAACCAAAUGGUGUCAGACCAGGCUAUCAGCAGAUUCGAUUUCCAGGAAGAACAUACAGACCUGCGUAUGGUGCACAACCAACCAUCCCUGAUAGAUUCCAGGACCACGGUGGUAGCGUCCUUGCUGCUCAGAUGAAGUCACUUAAAUCUCAAUAUAAAAAUAUGAAAUAUACUCCUACGAGGCCAGAUGAAGAAAAGACAAACGUUGGACAAGGUUUUGAAGGAAAGUCAUGUAGCUUUCCACUAGGCAUGCAGGAUGGUACCAUCAAAGAUGAGCAGCUGUCAUCGUCUAGUGACUAUUCGAUGUAUCACUCUGCAGCGAGAGGAAGACUUGGAAAUACUCCAAAACAAAAUGGUUUUGCGGGUGCAUGGUGCACUGGGACCAAGCACAUCGAUAGGGCCCAGUACCUCCAGAUUGACCUUGGUCAGCGCAGACGAGUAUGUCGCGUGGCUACUCAGGGCAUGCCAGAGUUUCCAACAUGGGUCAAAGAAUAUACUUUGGAAUUUAGUAACAACGGCCAUAUAUGGGCAGACUAUACUGAAGAGGGACAUGAAAAGCUUUUCGAUGGCAAUACAGACAGUACUACACCUGUCAGUCACUCUCUAAAGCAGCCAAUCACAGCUCGGUUUAUUCGCUUCAAACCUCAAUCCUGGAACGGUCCAAACAUAUGCAUGCGAGCCGAGCUCUACACUUCCACAGAUCCCGGAUUGAAACCACGUGAUCGAAUUUCAAAGCAAGGAUUGGUCGUUUAUCUGAACUUUGAUAAGAGCAAGGAAACAUCUACUGAUGAUAGGCGCACUGAAAUAUCUCGAGCCCCUGGCGUCUGUGGUGACGUAGCAAGCCUACGUGACGGGAAGACCAUCUUGUUAGAUGGGCGAAAAAUCCAGCCUAAGCCACGUGAUGCAAUCACCAUAGCAGCGUGGAUCCGAUUGGACAACACAAGUGGACAGCAUUCUAUCUUCGAUACUGUUGGAGGUCACAGUAGUCAUGGCAGCGGGCAGUAUCACUUUGAAGUUAGCGAUGGAAAACUGCGAUGGUACCACCGUAACGAGACGGCUAACCAGAUCUUUAGUGUAGAAUCAGACGCAGUCGUCUCAGAAAACACGUGGACACACGUGGCAGGUACCUACGACUCUCAUACGGGGAUUUCCAAGGUCUAUAUCGAUGGUCACGUGAACGGGCAGGCUCAAGGCAGCGGUUUGUUGUCUCAGGACUGGGACAGUCACGUGGGCAUUGGAACACACAAAGAUUCAAGGUUUAUUAAUGGAUUAUUAGAUGAAUUUAGAAUAUAUGACUACGCAAUGGAAGAACCGGAGAUAAAGAAACUGAUGACACUAUGCAAUUAUGCAAAAAGUUGUGGGGGGUCGUUAGAUGCGUCAUCAGGUGUCAUAGCAUCACCCAAUUGGCCAAGCGGUUACAAAGACGCAAAGACUUGCAUAUGGAAAAUAACGGUUGACAAAACAGACAAAAUUGCGUUGAAUUUCGAGACGUUUGGUCUUCAAGAGGAUGGCAACUGUGACAAGUCUAGAUUAGUAAUCAAAGAUGGAGAAGACGAGGCUGCGAAAGAGAUCGGGGAAUUCUGUGGUUUGAACAGCCCGAGGUUAAUGAGAUCAACAGGAAAUCACAUGUGGCUUCAGUUCACAAGCACCCCAGAGGGGGAGGGCAAAGGAUUUCGUUUGACAUAUCAAACAGAAAAAAAUCGUCAAACCAAGAAAGAAGAACAACCACGUGCUCCCGACCAAAACAUGAAAUGUUCUGCGUCCACACCAGAGUACAACGUCACCCUGAGCGGUGGAAUCAAAGCAGGCUCAUUCAGCGAAGCGCUCGGCGUCAAGACCUUAGACAUGUGCAUGAGACAAUGUUGUUUGAAGGAGUCUUGCAGCCUGGCUUUCAUGAUCAGUGACAGCUGCUACCUCGUAAACUGCAAGGACGAGGAAUCCUGCAAGACCAAAAGAGCACGACCCUCUGGCAUGAACCCCACCAUUGUGUACAUCACACACCUAAAAGAAGAGCCACACUCGGGCCUCCCUGAAGAAGGUACCUCACUCGACAAUCCCCGUCCCAUCCCCCCUGCGUCCCAGUGUCACCACACUGACGUCAGCUACAACUUCACUCUGGUUGGUGGAAUAAAGGCGGGAAAAUUCAACACCUUUGGACACAUGAGUAGUAUAGACGACUGCAUACGUCACUGUUGCCAUGACGAUAAGUGUGACGUGGUAUUCAUGAUUCAGAACAACUGCUAUAAUGUGGAGUGUGCGAAUAAUCGUGGCUGCCAGAUGAAGAAAGCCAAGCCAAGCCCGUAUAACCCUACUUUAGUGUAUGUUUACAGAGGAGGUUCCAAACCUAUUGCAGAGCCGGUCAAGAAGUUCAACAGGCCUGCUCGGUUUUCCUGUCACAAUUACCAGGUGUCCAACACAUUACAAAAUGUCACUCUGGUGGGAGGCAUCAAGUCUGGCACGUUCACGGACAAGGGUGUUGUCAACGACAUCGAUGAGUGUAAAGCGUUUUGUUGCGCCGAAGACUCGUGUAAUGUGGCGUUCCUUAUCAGGACAAACUGCUUUCUUGUCGCGUGUAAGGAUUAUGAUUCUUGUAAAGUCAAGCCAGCCAUGUCGGAUUAUUAUCGUCCGAAACUGGCUUACGUUAACUGGCACCCCCCGGACGAGGAAGUCAGUCCGUAUGACAAGUUCGCAUCUCUGGGGUGUUGGCGAGAUACAGAGUCGUUUGCAAUCCCGUCCCUCGAAGGCACUGACCCGCGGUUAUCAGAAUCCUACAGGCUGAGAGCUAAACCAAUCGAUACAUGCGCUAGUGUGGCGUUCAAGCAUGGAUACAAAGUCUUUGGCAUUCAUAGAGGAGGUGCAUGUUUCAGUGGACCCAAAGCAGAUCAAACGUUCAAUAUAUUCGGAGAGUCAGCAGAUUGUAAAAGUGGCAGGGGAGGGGUGGGGGCAACUGAUGUCUAUCGCCUUGAUCACGAUGGCAAAUAUUCAAAAUUAGGAUGUUGGCGAGACACCCAACAUCGAGCACUCAAAAAACUCGAGCACACAAACCCAAGACUGAACGAUUUCUAUCAGACUCGCACCAGUCCUGUCGCCAAGUGCGCAGAGGUUGCUAAGCAACAAGGGUAUCCUGUUUUUGCCAUACAAGACGGCGGCGAAUGUUUGAGUGGGCCGACAGCCGAGGACGAGUUUAAUAAAUAUGGUGUGUCACGUGACUGCCGUGGAAGGCUUGGGGGUGCUUACGCCAACAGUGUAUAUAAACUGAUAGGGAAUUUUGAUAUUCAGAACGAUGAGUUGGACAAUAGCUCCAGUACGAUGAACACGACAGAGAACUCCUCAAACAAAGACAGCAUGUCCAAGCCUGAGGGGGGAACAAAACAAGUUAUUGGUGACGACUUACCAUCCAAGACAGGCACCACAAGCAUGAGGGAAGACUUCGUAACAUUGAAAAAUGGAAAACCGAAAAGAAUCGUCUACAUGGCUGGAAAAGUUCAGUACAAUGUUACCUUGAAGUAUGGGAUUAAAUCAGGAAAAUUCAUGGACGAAGGUCAGGUUUCAAAUAUCAGUCAGUGCAUCAGUAGAUGUGGUAGACAACCAGACUGCGAUCUCGCCUUUAUGCUGGGCAAGCAGUGCUUUGCGGUCAGCUGUAGCUCUAAAGCACUUUGUAUAACCAAGCCUGCAUUUUCGCUCUUCUACAAUCCUGUAAUUGUCUUUGUGACCCACAGAAAGAUUUACGAUACCGUCAAAUCGCAACAAAGACGGUGUCACGUGAGUGCUGUUCAGAAUAACGUCACUCUAGUUGGCGGAAUCAACGCUGGCAAAUUCAUGGAACUGAAAACUGACAUGAAUAGUGAAGCUGACAUGAAUGGUGAAACUGACAUGAAUACUUGUAUCAAGUGGUGUUGCGCCAAACCAACAUGUGAUGUUGCGUUCAAGCUGGAGGGAGUAUGUUACGCUGUCAGUUGUAUCAGUAAUAACCUCUGUAAGACCAGGCCUGCAAGGAAUGCUGAGAGGUACAAUCCCCAGAUCGCUUAUGUCUAUCAUGACCGAAAAGGACUAGACCGAGUACAAGCCAAUAUUACCGUAACUAACGUGAAUACGCAUGACCAGCAUGAGACAAAAACUAGAGUAGAACAAGAGCAUGCAAAGAAAACGACUGACAAAGCUGACGUUAGUUUCAUCAAUGACAAACACAGGAACGCUGGGACUGAGGGCUUCGUUCAAACCUCUACUGCAAGACAACACACGAACCAAAAUACGGCUCACAGGAUACUUGACGAUAAGAUUAAUAACAAUAGCAAUUAUGGUGGUAGACGAAAGCCUACUGCAGGACAUAGCCAAAAUGACGAGAAGAACUACAGUACCAAAGUCAAACAUCUUAAUGGUGAAACUAAUAACAAUAUUUACGACAGUAACAAAGGCAAGGAGGUCGGUGUUGCCGACCAUGGGUCGAUGGUGGGGACGAAUAGUUAUCGAUUUAGUGACGUAAACAAUGGCAAUGGCAACAGCAUGAAAAAUACGAAAAUCAAACAGGAAAAUGAGGACACCUAUCGACAAAGAAUAUUGAAUGAUUUUGUAAUGGCUGGUGAAACAAUGAACCAGAACAAUGACAAAAUUGACCAAUCACAGCCGGUUAUCAAACAGGGUUUGAUGAAUACGGCGGCUAAUCAAACUGACCAAUCACAGCCCAUUAUCAAACAAGGUUUAAAGAAAACAAACGGCCAACCUGACCAAUCGCAUUACUUUUUCAAUGGAGGUUUAACGAAGAUAUCUCCCAUAAACGUAAAUAAGGACGAGGAAAGUCCCACUUAUGUCAAAUCAAAUGGCGCCAAAGAAACCAACUUCAGCAUCCUUUCACCGUCAGCAGCAGAUAAAAACCAGAUGUCUGAACGUAAAAACACCAACAUCUCUAGUUACUUCACAACCAUAAGAAAGAACAAACAAAGAAAAGUAGGAAAUAUGAAACAGGUGAAGCUGGUGCCUUGGGGACAGAACAGCAGAAAUGUUGGUAUUAAACCUUUGAAGCAUCUUUCUUUCUUCAACAACUUUAAUGCUGGCAUUAAAACUGCGCAAAAACACAAACAUCCCCUUGGAUUGGUAGCUAUGGGGCCCGACAGUACAAAUAUCUUGAAACAUGUCGCUUCUUUACAAAACAAAGGCGUCAACAUUAAGAUAAAACAAGGUCGUCACAACAAUGUGGGUCUUGUGGCUUUAGGACCUAAUAGCGGUAAUGUCGUCAUUAAACAUUUGAAUCUCAAGAGUUUCCACAUAAAUCAGGCUUCUUUUCCUGGACGUGUUGUCUCUAUCAAUGGUCAUGGACUUCAUAAAAUCCAACCGUUAACUAACAAUGACGCUUCCUUGACAACCAAUCAACAAACGGGACGAAAACAAACUGCAGUUUCAUUGGUCAAUCCUGGACGACAUCCAGCACAGAAAAGUUUGUCUAAGUAUAUUCAUGUUCUCAAUGCUCUUUUAGAAUCGAGCAAUACCAGUAUCCAUGGUGAUAGCAGUUCCAACGGAAGCGUGUGUUGGGAUGGUGACGUAUUGUACAACCAGACUCUGAUUGGUGGAAUCAAUGCUGGGGUGUUUACAGACAAUGGCAAGACCACCACCAUGGAUCUGUGUAUGCAGUCAUGUUGUAAGCAGCCCGCGUGUGACCUCGCCUUCAUGAUUGAAGAUGAUUGCUAUUCUGUUGCUUGUACCAGUCCCUCCUCGUGCAAGACCCGAGCUGCUCGUCCCACACAGUUCUACCCGAGAAUCUCGUUUAGAAACAAGUUCAAAGAUAUGAUGUCAAAAGAAACUUCAGGCUUAGCGUCCGGGACCUCAGCACCACAAGAACCAUCGACCCAGUCUCCCACACAUGCAGCUGCCUCCUCGGCCAAAGUGACAACAACAGUUGCACCACGUGUCCAGCCCACGCUAAAAGUACAACACUCAUGUUCUGCCACGCCCAUCAAGUACAACGUCACGCUCCGAAUGGGUCUUCACUCGGGACUGUUCACCAAGAUGGGGCGAGUAGAUUCCAUGGAUGAUUGUAUCGAGUUGAACUGCAAGCAGCCCAAGGCGGACGUGGCAUUCAUGAUGGGUACCCAUUGCUAUGCGGUCCAGUGUUACAGCGAGGAACUGUGCAAGACCGAGCCUGUUUUUGCCACGAGUUUCUCGUUUCUGAAUCUGAAGCCAGCGGUGUCGUUUUUAAAGAAGAACCCAGGAUCCACAGGACAUGAUCUUGCUUUGCGUGAAAAUCCUCGAGAGACUUGCCUUGAAAGCACGAUUACUUAUGACGUAACAUUACGUGGUGGAAUACACGCAGGCAAGUUCACUGAAAGGCCUCACGUGAACACUAUGCGUAAAUGUAUAAGAGAAUGUUGUGAUGCUGAUUCAUGCGACCUGGCCUUCAUGUUCGGUGAUCGCUGUUAUUCAGUCACGUGCAAGAGUGAGAAGAGUUGCCAGGCGGUACUGGCCAAACCUACCAGCCUUAAGCCGAGAAUAUCAUACAUGUCAAGAACCUCACCAAACAACGAUGGCGUGAGUCUGGCCGAGUCACAAGAGGUUCAUCCAAAAUGCCAUGCAGACGAUAUUUCUAAAUCCUUGAUUGCGAGGAACAAAACCCUUGCUGGAGGUCUUGAGGCUGGUACCUUUAGAUUCCUGGGCAAAGUCAAGUCCAUGGGUUUCUGCAUGCGCAUGUGCUGUGCUCGUCCAAGAUGUGACGUGGCGUACCUGAUCGACAAGAACUGUUUCUCCAUCACUUGUUUUUCUCCUGCACUUUGUAAAAUCACUUCUGACCAUUCCACUGCUAAUGGCGAUGUGGAGAUAUCAGCCAUGCUGAAAUCGGUCAAGAAAGAGGAAUUACCUGAUGAAGCUCAUUCUGUAGUGGUAUACAUCAUUGUCGGUACUCUCAUGUUUGCUGCGGGACUCGGUGGCAUUGUCUGGGCCGUCUGCAUGUUUCUAAGAAGACAUCGAUUAAGACAGCGCCACCGUGCAAGAUCACCAUCAGAUGGAUAAUUAUCCAUUCAUUUGCCUUGCAUGAUUGGAAGCAUUCAAUUGAACCUUGGUGCACGGAAAGUGGAGAGUGCUUUAAGUUUUUCCUCACAGACAGCAAUCAUAGGCAAGUCCAUUUGUCAAAGGAAGAAGUUGCAACACUAUAAUCUUCUACCACAUGAUUUUUUAUAUUUCUCUCAAAAUAAUUAAAUACUUCCUCUGCUGGAUAGUGCCCAACGCAGAAGUCAGCCAAUAUGGGUGUACGUACUUAAGGGUUACUGAAGGCCCAUUUUACUAGACAGGGUAAGACAUAUCUUUCCAGAAUGUCUCCUACAGGACCAAGUGGUGCCAAAUGGUAACUUACUUCUAAAAUAAGCUAUUUUUUCACUAAAAAAUUCUAAAAUCAAAAAAAAAAAACUUCAUUAAGAGUUAGUUUAUGAUUGGUGAGACACAUACAAAUAUUUUAGCAAUCAUUUUUUAUUUCGAUAAGACAUCAUUCCUUAUUAGAAUGUAAUACAUAGCAGGUUAAUUCUCACUAUGUUAGAGUGAUUCAUUUACCCCUUGAAGUCUAAAUCAAUCUGUUCACAGGUAGCCCAAGCUUGGUUUCUGUGGUGUCAUGUUAUAAGGAAAUGUAUGGGGAUUCAUCAAAAAUUUCAAUAAAAUCAUUGAAACAUGAAAUAAAGCCUCAAAAUAUUACCCGAUCAUUUUGAAGUAGUACUUCUUUCGCUCUGUGUGGUUAUUUUUUGAAUAUAGCCGUUUAAAACGUUUCAAUGAUUUUAUUGAAAUUUUUGAUGAAUCCCCAUAUAUUUCCUUAUAACAGGACACCACAGAAACCAAGCUUGGGCUACCUGUGGUCUGCUCUGACACAAAAACCGCUAAAUAAAGUGGAAAAUGUUUUGACCUCCGCCUGAGUUUGUUCCAAUAUCGUGUUGGUUGGUUACUUCUAGCAGGAGUAAUCACACAUGUGUAUAGCAGUACACGAGCUUUAAUCAAGACUCAGUAAUGACUAACNAAGGUUACNUUGAUAACCGGAUAUAUGCAUACGUCAUAUGUGUACAUAUAAGAUUACAUAAUGCAACAGAGUUCUUUCUCCCUCACCUCUUGUUAUUCAUUUAUUCAUAGGAAAACAGAAUAGGUAUAGACUAAUGCCUAGUAGAACAAUAUCAAUUCCAAGGGUUAAAUAAAUUCACUCUAUAAUUCACUAAUAUCACAGUAAGCCCUUAUAUUCACUAGCGAUACAAGAACAAGCGAUACCAUUUACAACAGAAUUUGCAGUGGAGUUCCAUUAUCUCAAAUCUCCUUGAG
rnacentral:misc_RNA from 1 species